GAAAUGCGAUAAGUAAUGUGAAUUGCAGAAUUCCGUGAAUCAUCGAAUCUUUGAACGCACAUUGCGCCCUCUGGUAUUCCGGGGGGCAUGCCUGUCCGAGCGUCAUUGCGAACCCCUCAAGCACGGCUUGUGUGAUGGGCCCUCCCGCGUCUUGGUCGUCAAGACGGGCCCGAAAUGCGGUGGCGGCUUCGCGGUUAUCCGAUCAGCCAGAGCGUAUGGGGACUUUCUCUCUGUCACACGCCCGCGGCGCGGACCGACGCCUGUCGACCUUUAUUCAUCUUUUUCUCGGUUGACCUCGGAUCAGGUAGGGAUACCCGCUGAACUUAAGC
rnacentral:misc_RNA from 1 species